AUAGGCAAGUAAUUUAGAACAAGUUCUGUCCCCAUGCUCUGAGACGUACACGAAAUACAUUGGAUGACACAAUUCAUACGAGACGAGCACGUGUCCUCAAGUCCUUGUGAAUCUACUUGAACGAAAACCACGAGAAACUUGUCAAGGAUUAUAUGAACACAGACCUCGAGGCCAGUGCUUUCAUGGAGCAAAAAUGAUGGGUGUAUGAAGGAGGGCGCGGAGCCUGAAGAUAACCCAGCAUCGGUGUCCUGAUCGAAGGUGUGAAGGUCCUUGGGGAGUUAGGAAACAUUGGGGACACCUGUGCUUUCUUAUUUGGACCUUUUAUCCUGUCUGAACCGGAGUUACCCGGCAGACCUCUACUACUAUGCGGAUUGUUUUUUUGUUUUUCUUCCUAGUUUUCACAAGGACUUUUAGUUUGCUCAAAUGGACACAGACUGUAAAAACGUGAAGCUACACACCAGACGUCAAAUGCACUUUUGAAGUGAUGCAGAAGAUUCUCAGGAAUCUGGAUGGGCAGAGCUCGUCGUCCAAAGCACAAUUCCCAAAAAACAAGCUCAUGGAGCCAAUGUGCUUAAUGUAAGAAGUCUACAAGGCAAUUUUUUUUGUUGUCCUAGUUUGACAAGGACUUUUAGUUAACAAGUUAAAAAAAUCUUUUAACAGGUUUAAGAUAUUUCUACUGAUGCAAAAAAU